UACAAUGUCUACCACUUCUUUAUUUGAGAGAACAUCCCAAAUCCCAUCAGUGGCCAAAACUAUAAACUCAUCCUUAUCGGUCAGGCGCCGGAAGGAUAUAUCAGGCACAGAGAUAAGGCCAAAAUCCUUCAGGCAAAAAUCUCCAAAAGCUCGUGCCAUGGCAAGGCCAGGAGAGUCAUUAUUUGGUAGCCAGACCCUAGCUACCUCAGGUUCAUCAUGAAGAGCAAAAACGCGCCCUUUACACUUCCUAAUUCUUUCCUCUUC
rnacentral:misc_RNA from 1 species